rnacentral:lncRNA from 1 species
GUCCAUCACAAAAGCCGAGCCCCUGAAGAAGAUGAAAGGAAAAAGAGGCGACGAGAAAGAAAUAAGAUUGCAGCUGCAAAGUGCCGAAACAAGAAGAAGGAGAAGACGGAGUGCCUGCAGAAAGAGUCGGAGAAGCUGGAAAGUGUGAAUGCUGAACUGAAGGCUCAGAUUGAGGAGCUCAAGAACGAGAAGCAGCAUUUGAUAUACAUGCUCAACCUUCAUCGGCCCACGUGUAUUGUCCGGGCUCAGAAUGGGAGGACUCCAGAAGAUGAGAGAAACCUCUUUAUCCAACAGAUAAAAGAAGGAACAUUGCAGAGCUAAGCAGUCGUGGUAUGGGGGCGACUGGGGAGUCCUCAUUGAAUCCUCAUUUUAUACCCAAAACCCUGAAGCCAUUGGAGAGCUGUCUUCCUGUGUACCUCUAGAAUCCCAGCAGCAGAGAACCAUCAAGGCGGGAGGGCCUGCAGUGAUUCAGCAGGCCCUUCCCAUUCUGCCCCAGAGUGGGUCUUGGACCAGGGCAAGUGCAUCUUUGCCUCAACUCCAGGAUUUAGGCCUUAACACACUGGCCAUUCUUAUGUUCCAGAUGGCCCCCAGCUGGUGUCCUGCCCGCCUUUCAUCUGGAUUCUACAAAAAACCAGGAUGCCCACCGUUAGGAUUCAGGCAGCAGUGUCUGUACCUCGGGUGGGAGGGAUGGGGCCAUCUCCUUCACCGUGGCUACCAUUGUCACUCGUAGGGGAUGUGGAGUGAGAACAGCAUUUAGUGAAGUUGUGCAACGGCCAGGGUUGUGCUUUCUAGCAAAUAUGCUGUUAUGUCCAGAAAUUGUGUGUGCAAGAAAACUAGGCAAUGUACUCUUCCGAUGUUUGUGUCACACAACACUGAUGUGACUUUUAUAUGCUUUUUCUCAGAUCUGGUUUCUAAGAGUUUUGGGGGGCGGGGCUGUCACCACGUGCAGUAUCUCAAGAUAUUCAGGUGGCCAGAAGAGCUUGUCAGCAAGAGGAGGACAGAAUUCUCCCAGCGUUAACACAAAAUCCAUGGGCAGUAUGAUGGCAGGUCCUCUGUUGCAAACUCAGUUCCAAAGUCACAGGAAGAAAGCAGAAAGUUCAACUUCCAAAGGGUUAGGACUCUCCACUCAAUGUCUUAGGUCAGGAGUUGUGUCUAGGCUGGAAGAGCCAAAGAAUAUUCCAUUUUCCUUUCCUUGUGGUUGAAAACCACAGUCAGUGGAGAGAUGUUUGGAAACCACAGUCAGUGGAGCCUGGGUGGUACCCAGGCUUUAGCAUUAUUGGAUGUCAAUAGCAUUGUUUUUGUCAUGUAGCUGUUUUAAGAAAUCUGGCCCAGGGUGUUUGCAGCUGUGAGAAGUCACUCACACUGGCCACAAGGACGCUGGCUACUGUCUAUUAAAAUUCUGAUGUUUCUGUGAAAUUCUCAGAGUGUUUAAUUGUACUCAAUGGUAUCAUUACAAUUUUCUGUAAGAGAAAAUAUUACUUAUUUAUCCUAGUAUUCCUAACCUGUCAGAAUAAUAAAUAUUGGAACCAAGACAUGGU